GAAUAGGAGUUUAUUUUUAAGAUUCAAGGAACCUACUUGUAAAGCAUCGAGGUAUGGAUGAAGAGGUUGUGGAGCUAGGCACUGUUGAGGAGGGAGGGGCCGAUGCUUAGAGUUCCCUGUUGGUUCAGCUUUUGAUGAUAAUGUUUAUGUUUUUAUGUUUUUAUGAUGGGUCCCGUGUUGGGACGUCUUGUUGGCUUGACUUUAAGACAAUAUGUCUUUGGGCAUGAUGUAAACAAUAUGGUGGGAUGAUGGUAAUGGUGUAACUUCUAUGGUGGGGUGAUGGUAACCCCACAUACAAUGGUUUAAUGCCUUUUUGUAUGUGUUGUAGGGAUUGAGUCUCCUCUUAUUUCAGACUAGUUAUGUUUGGUGAAUGAAUGACGGACUCUGAGAGUCCUUUAUUUAGAAUAUUGAACAGAUCAUCAAUCAGGUGUUUCUUUUAAAUUAGAAGUGCAGAGUACAUGCAUAACAUGUUCACGCAUAUCCCUUAUUACCCUCGUAGAAAAAUAAAUAAA